rnacentral:rRNA from 1 species
GAUGAACCACUUCGGUGGGGAUUAGUGGCGAACGGGUGAGUAACACGUGGGCAAUCUGCCCUGCACUCUGGGACAAGCCCUGGAAACGGGGUCUAAUACCGGAUACGACGCGCUCAGGCAUCUGAUGCGCGUGGAAAGCUCCGGCGGUGCAGGAUGAGCCCGCGGCCUAUCAGCUUGUUGGUGAGGUAACGGCUCACCAAGGCGACGACGGGUAGCCGGCCUGAGAGGGCGACCGGCCACACUGGGACUGAGACACGGCCCAGACUCCUACGGGAGGCAGCAGUGGGGAAUAUUGCACAAUGGGCGAAAGCCUGAUGCAGCGACGCCGCGUGAGGGAUGACGGCCUUCGGGUUGUAAACCUCUUUCAGCAGGGAAGAAGCGAAAGUGACGGUACCUGCAGAAGAAGCGCCGGCUAACUACGUGCCAGCAGCCGCGGUAAUACGUAGGGCGCGAGCGUUGUCCGGAAUUAUUGGGCGUAAAGAGCUCGUAGGCGGCUUGUCGCGUCGGUUGUGAAAGCCCGGGGCUUAACCCCGGGUCUGCAGUCGAUACGGGCAGGCUAGAGUUCGGUAGGGGAGAUCGGAAUUCCUGGUGUAGCGGUGAAAUGCGCAGAUAUCAGGAGGAACACCGGUGGCGAAGGCGGAUCUCUGGGCCGAUACUGACGCUGAGGAGCGAAAGCGUGGGGAGCGAACAGGAUUAGAUACCCUGGUAGUCCACGCCGUAAACGGUGGGCACUAGGUGUGGGCAACAUUCCACGUUGUCCGUGCCGCAGCUAACGCAUUAAGUGCCCCGCCUGGGGAGUACGGCCGCAAGGCUAAA